rnacentral:rRNA from 1 species
CAGUAGCCGCGGUAACACGUAGGUGGCAAGCGUUGUCCGGAAUUAUUGGGCGUAAAGCGCGCGCAGGUGGUUUCUUAAGUCUGAUGUGAAAGCCCCCGGCUCAACCGGGGAGGGUCAUUGGAAACUGGGAAACUUGAGUGCAGAAGAGGAGAGUGGAAUUCCACGUGUAGCGGUGAAAUGCGUAGAGAUGUGGAGGAACACCAGUGGCGAAGGCGACUCUCUGGUCUGUAACUGACGCUGAGGAGCGAAAGCGUGGGGAGCGAACAGGAUUAGAUACCCCUGUAGUCCCUGUCUCUUAUAC